AACGAACGCUGGCGGCAGGCCUAAUACAUGCAAGACGAACGGUAAGUUGAGUAGCAAUACUUAGCCAAGAGUGUCGUACGGGUGCGUAACACGUAUGCAACCUACCCUAUACAGGAGGAUAGCCUAGGGAAACCUGGAUUAACCCUUCAUAGUAUUAUUGGAUGGCAUCAUUUGAUAAUUAAAACUGAGGUGGUAUAGGAUGGGCAUGCGUCUGAUUAGUUAGUUGGCGGGGUAAUGGCCCACCAAGACGAUGAUCAGUAGGGGUUCUGAGAGGAAGAUCCCCCCACACUGGCACUGAGAUACGGGCCAGACUCCUACGGGAGCAGCAGUAGGGAAUAUUGGUCAAUGGAUGCAAGUCCGAACCAGCCAUGCCGCGUGCAGGAAGAAGGCCUUCGGGUUGUAAAGCUCUUUUGUCAGGGAAGAAACGGUGAGUUCUAAUAAAGCUUGCUAAUGACGGUACCUGAAGAAUAAGCACCGGCUAACUACGUGCCAGCAGCCGCGGUAAU
rnacentral:rRNA from 1 species